CUGCAACACAUCUGAACAGUGCCUGGACUGGAAGCUGCUGCAACACAUCUGAAACGUGCCUGGACUGGAAGCUGCUGCAACACAUCUGAACAGUGCCUGGACUGGAAGCUGCUGCAACACAUCUGAACAGUGCCUGGACUGGAAGCUGCUGCAACACAUCUGAAACGUGCCUGGACUGGAAGCUGCUGCAACACAUCUGAACAGUGCCUGGACUGGAAGCUGCUGCAACACAUCUGAACAGUGCCUGGACUGGAAGCUGCUGCAACACAUCUGAACAGUGCCUGGACUGGAAGCUGCUGCAACACAUCUGAACAGUGCCUGGACUGGAAGCUGCUGCAACACAUCUGAACAGUGCCUGGAUGAAACAUACACCUUUAAUGGAGUGAUAUGCAGUGGCCACAUCUGUAGCCAUACAUUUUUUUGAAAGGCUGGUCAUGGCUCACCUCAACACCAUCAUCCCAGACACCCUGGACCCACUCCAAUUCGCAUACCGCCCCAACAGAUCCACAGAUGAGGCAAUCUCUAUUGCACUCUACGCUAACCUUUCCCACCUGGACAAAAUAAACACCUACAUGAGAAUGCUGUUCAUUGACCACAGCUAAGCGUUCAACACCAUAGUGCCCUCUAAGUUCAUCACUAAGCAAAUAUCCCUGGGACUGAGCACCUCCCUCUGCAACUGGAUCCUGGACUUCCUGACAGGCCGCCACCAGGUGGUAUGGGUAGGCAACAACAAAUCCUCCACGCUGACCCUCAAAAUGGGGGCUCCUCAGGGGUGCGUGCUUAGUACCCUCCUGUACUUCCUGUUCACCCACAACUGCGUGGCCACGCACAACUCCAACACCAUCAUUAAGUUUGCGGACGACAUGACGGUGGUAGGCCUGAUCACCAACGACAACGAGACAGCCUAUAGGGAGGAGAUCAGAGACUUAGCAGUUUGGUGCCAAGACAACAACCACAGAGUAUUCUCUCUGCUACCGCAUGGCAAGCGGUACCGAUGCACCAAGUCUGGAACCAACAGGACCCUGAACUGCUUCUACCCCCAAGCCUUAAGACUUCUAAACAAAACUUCUAAAUAGCUAAUCAAAGGGGUUCUUGGGCUACCUGCAUUGACCCCUUUUUUGCACUAACAACUCUAUGCACUCACACUGGACUCUAUCCACACACUCACACAUACUUACACUGACACCCCAACAUACACACACACACAGUCUUGUAUAGCUAACCUUGUGGGGAUACACAAGACUCACACAGACAGACUCAUGCACGCAUGAACAAACAAACAUAGGUACACACACACGUAUGUGACUAACUGGAUUUGAACCUGCUUUCGCAUUGCAAUACAAUGUUAACUCACUGAGCUAAAGCAUGGUCUAAAGCCUGGUUUAAAGCCUGGUCUAAAGCCUGGUCUGAAGCCUGGUCUAAAGCCUGGUUUAAAGCCUGAGCUAAAACCUGGUCUAAAGCCUGAGCUAAAGCCUGGUCUAAAGUCUGGUCUAAAGCGUGGUUGAAAGCCUGUUUUAAAGCCUGGUCUAAAACCUGGUCUAAAGCCUGGUCUAAAGCCUGGUUUAAAGCCUGGUUUAAAGCCUGGUCUAAAGCCUGAGCUAAAGCCUGGUUUAAAGCCUGAGCUAAAGCCUGGAUUAAAGCCUGGUCCAAAGCCUGACCUAAAGCCUGGUCUAAAGCCUGGUGUAAAUCCUGAGCUAAAGCCUGGUUUAAAGCCUGAGUUAAAGCCUGGUAUAUAGCCUGGUUUAAAGCCUGAGCUAAAGCCUGGCUUAAAGCCAGGUUUAAAGCCUGGUUUAAAGCCUGGUCUAAAGCCCGGUUUAAAGCCUGGUCUAAAGUCUUGUUUAAAGCAUGGUCUAAAGCCUGGCUUAAAGCCUGGUUUAAAGCCUGGUCUAAAGCCUGAGCUAAAGCCAGGUCUAAAGGCUGAGCUAAAGCCUGGCGUAAAGCCUGGCGUAAAGCCUGGCCUAAAGCCUGAGCUAAAGCCUGGUCUAAAGCGUGGUCGAAAGCCGGUUUUAAAGCCUGGUCUAAAGCCUGGU
rnacentral:lncRNA from 1 species